rnacentral:lncRNA from 1 species
AUAAAAUAUAAAAAUCCAGCCCAGUUCAUGACUCGUUUGGCAGCAACCCUGAGACACUUUACAGCCCUAGACCCUAAAAGGUCAAAAGGCCGUCUUAUUCUUAAUACACAUUUUAUUACCCAAUCUGCUCCCGACAUUAAAUAAAACUCCAAAAAUUAAAUUCCAGCCCUCAAACCCCACAACAAGAGUUAAUUAACCUCCCUUCAAGGUGUACAAUAAUAGAGUAGAGGCAGCCAAGUAGCAAUGUAUUUCUGAGUUGUAAUUCCUUGCCUCCACUGUGAGACAAACCCCAGCCACAUCUCCAGCACACAAGAACUCCAAACGCCUGAACCACAGCUUCCAGGGGUUCCUCCAGAACCUCCUCCCCCAGGAGCUUGCUACAAGUGCCAGAAAUCUGGCCACUGGGCCAAGGAAUGCCCACAGCCCAGGAUUCCUCCCAAGCUGUGUCCCAUCUGUGCAGGACCCCACUGAAAAUCAGACUGUUCAACUCACCUGGCAGCCACUUCCAGAGCCCCUGGAACUCUGGCCCAAGGCUCUCUGACUGACUCCUUCCCUGAUCUUCUCAGCUUAGCAGCUGAAGACUGACACUGCCUGAUUGCCUCAGAAGCCUACAGGACCAUCACAGAUGCUCUAGGUAACUCUCACAGUGGAAGGUAAGUCCGUCCCCUUCUUAAUCAAUACGGAGGCUACCCACUCCACAUUACCUUCUUUUCAAGGGCCUGUUUCCCUUGCCUCCAUAACUGUUGUAGGUAUUGGCGGCCAGGCUUCUAAACCUCUUAAAACUCCCCAACUUUGGUGCCAACUUAGACAAUACUCUUUUAAGCACUCCUUUUAAUUAUCCCCACCUGCCCAGUUCCCUUAUUAGGCCGAGACACUUCAACUAAAUUAUCUGCUUCCCUGACUAUUCCUGGGCUACAGCCACACCUCAUUGCUGCCUUUUCCCCCAGUUCAAAGCCUCCUUCACAUCAUCCCCUUCUAUCUCCCCACCUUAACCCAUAAGUAUAGGACACCUCUACUCCCUCCUUGGUGACAAAUGAUGCACCCCUUACCAUCCCAUUAAAACCUAAUCACCCUUACCCCACUCAAUACCAAUAUCCCAUCCCACACCAUGCUUUAAAAGGAUUAAAGACUGUUAUCACUCGCCUGCUACAGCAUGGCCUUUUAAAGCCUGUAAACUCCCCUUACAAUUCCCCUAUUUUACUGUUCUAAAUCCAGACAAGGCUUACAGGUUAGUUCAGGAUCUGCAACUUAUCAACCAAAUUGUUUUGCCUAUCCACCCAAUGGUGCCAAACCCAUAUACUCUCCUAUCCUCAAUACCUCCCUCCACAACCCAUUAUUCUGUUCUGGAUCUCAAACAUGCUUUCUUUACUAUUCCUUUGCACCCUUCAUCCCAGCCUCUCUUCGCUUUCACUUGGACUGACCCUGACACCCAUCAGGCUCAGCAAAUUACCUGGGCUGUACUGCCACAAGGCUUCACAGACAGCUCCCAUUACUUCAGUCAAGCCCAAAUUUCUUCCUUAUCUGUUACCUAUCUCAGCAUAAUUCUCAUAAAAACACACGUGCUCUCCCUGCCGAUCAUGUCCCACUGAUCUCUCAAACCCCAACACCUUCUAAAAAACAACAACUCCUUUCCUUCCUAGGCGUGGUUGGAUACUUUAGAUAUCUGGUUUUGCCAUCCUAACAAAACCAUUAUAUAAACUCACAAAAGGAAACCUAGCUGACCCCAUAGAUCCUAAUUCCUUUCCCCACUUCUCUUUCCAUUCCUUGAAGACAGCUUUAGAGACUGCCCCCACCCCAGCUCUCCCUGACUCAUCCCAACCCUUUUCAUUACCCACAGCCGAAGUGCAGGGCUAUGCAGUCAGAACUCUUACACAAGGACUGGGACCGUGCCCUGUAGCCUUUUUAUCCAAACAACUUGACCUUACUGUUUUAGCCUAGCCCUCAAGUCUGCGUGCGGCAGCCGCCGCUGCCCUAAUACUUUUAGAGUCCCUCAAAAUCACAAACUAUGCUCAACUCACUCUCUACAGUUCUCAUAACUUCCAAAAUCUGUUUUCUUCCUCACACCUCACACAUAUACUUUCUGCUCCCCGACUCCUUCAGCUGUACUCACUCUUUGUUGAGUCUCCCACAAUUACCAUUGUUCCUGGCCCAGACUUCAAUCCAGCCUCCCACAUUAUUCCUGAUACCACACCUGACCCUCCUGACUGUAUCUCUCUGAUACAUCUGACAUUCACCCCCAUUUUCCCAUAUUUCCUUCUUUCCUGUUCCUCACCCUGAUCACACUUGGUUUAUUGAUGGCAGUUCCACCAGGCCUAAUUGCCACACACCAGCAAAGGUAGGCUAUGCUAUAGUACAAGCCACUAGCCCGCCUCUUAUAACCUCUCAUUUCCUUUCCAUUGUGUAAAUCUAUCCUCAAGGAAAUAACUUCUCAGUGUUCUAUCUGCUAUUCUACUACUCUUCAGGGAUUAUUCAGGCCCCCUCCCUUCCCUACACAUCAAGCUCGGGGAUUUGCCCCUGCCCAGGACUGGCAAAUUAGCUUUACUCAACAUGCCCUGAGUCAGGAAACUAAAAUACCUCUUGGUCUAGGUAGACACUUUCACUGGAUAGGUAGAGGCCUUUCCCACAGGGUCUGAGAAGGCCACCACGGUCAUUUCUUCCCUUCUGUCAGACAUAAUUCCUCAGUUUGGCCUUCCCACCUCUAUACAGUCCGAUAGCAGACCGGCCUUUAUUAGUCAAAUCACCCAAGUAGUUUCUCAGGUUCUUAGUAUUCAGUAAACUAAUGGUCUUUUUAAAACACACCUCACCAUGCUCAGCCAUCAAUUAAAAGAGACUGGACAAUACUUUUACCACUUGCCCUUCUCAGAAUUCAGGCCUGUCCUCAGAAUGCUACAAGGUACAGCCCAUUUGAGCUCCUGUAUAGACGCUCCUUUUUAUUAGGCCCCAGUCUCAUUCCAGACACCAGACCAACUUGGACUGAGCCCCCCAAAAAAAAACUUGUCAUCCCUACUAUCUUCUGUCUAGUCAUACUCCUAUUCACCUUUCUCAACUACUCAUAAAUGCCCUGCUUUUGUUUACACUGCCGGUUUACACUGUUUCUCCAAGCCAUCACAGCUGGUAUCUCCUGGUGCUAUCCCCAAACCACCACUCUUAACUCCCUCUUAAAGUAAAUAAAUAAUCUUUGCUGGCAGGGCUAUGCUGAACCUCCUUAGACACUCUCUAAUUGGAUGUUCUAGGUCCUCCGAAUUCUUAGUCCUUUACUACCUGUUUUUCUCAUUGUCUUAUUCCGUUCUUUUUUCAAUUCAUACGAAACCAUAUCCAGGCCAUCACCAAUAAUUCUAUACAACAAAUGUUUCUUCUAACAACCCCACAAUAUCACCCCUUACCACAAAAUCUUCCUUCAGCUUAAUCUCUCCCAGUCUAGGUUCCCACACCACCCCUAAUCCCGCUCGAAGCAGCCCUGAGAAACAUCGCCUGUUAUCUCUCCAAAGCACCCCCAAAAAUUUUCGCCACCCCAACACUUCAACACUAUUUUAAUUUUUCUUAUUAAUAUAAGAAGACAGGAAUGUCAGGCCUCUGAGCCCCAGCUAAGCCAUCAUAUCCCCUGUGACCUGCACGUAUACAUGCAAAUGGCCUGAAGUAACUGAAGAAUCACAAAAGAAGUGAAAUUUAAAUGGCCUGUUCCUGCCUUAACUGAUGACAUUCCACCACAAAACAAGUGAAAAUGGCCAGUCCUUGCCUUAACUGAUGACAUUACCUUGUGAAAUUCCUUCUCCUGGCUCAUCCUGGCUCAAAAAGCUCCCCCAAUGACCACCUUGUGACCCCCACUCCUGCCCACCAGAGAACAACCCCUCUUUGACUGUAAUUUCCUUUACCUAUGCAAAUCUUAUAAAAUGGCCCCACCCCUGUCUCCCUUCACUGACACUCUUGUCGGACUCAGCCCGCCUGCACCCAGGUGAAAUAAACAGCCUUGUUGCUCACACAAAGCCUGUUCAGCGGUCUUUUCACGUGGACGCGAGUGAAAAAAAGAACUCUUUAAGAGAUUAAAAAAACAACUCUCAACUUUUAGUCUACUUCUUCACUAGGUAAGUCCCCAUCCCCUUGCAACAAUCCUGGAGCUUUUCCUCCUAACCUGUGAGCAGCCAUGUUGGAUAAUAAUAUUAGGGUAAUGAUUUUCAUGAUGUUUUCCCCUUAAGCAUCAUAGAACAUGAAAUGUCAAAAAAAAUGCUCAUGGCACACAGCAAUGGAAUUUUAAGACCCAUCUUGAAUACUUUUGCUUUUAAGAUUCAAGGUGAUGUUACAAAAUCUUAAUGAUGGGACACCAACAUGAGAAUUAGAUUAAACAAUGGAAUAAAAUUAUCAGUGCUUAUCAAAGGACACAACAGUUCUUAUUAACCCAACUUGCAGACAAUCCAAGAAUUACAUGUCUUUAAAGACUAUUUUUAGUGUCGUUAUUUUGAGCACGUCUAUUAUUCUGGAAAUAAUUCAAACUAAAUAUUGAAAUUUUAUCAUGAAGCUUUGAAGAUUGAUUUUCUCCAUCGUGUCCUAUAACUGCCCUUUUGCCCCUUUCCAACUCACCUGGAGAACACCUCUCACACCGCCAUUGUGAUCAGGCCCCAAUAAUUUCUGCUAACUUGCUGACUCACAGCUCCCUUGCAUAUGCAUAAUAAUUUUGCUUCAAAAGUAUCUCUCUUUUCACUAUGCUAAACUUGAAAAAACAUAGCCUGACUAUUUCAAUCAAACACAUCAUUAAGAAGCUAGAAUAUGAAUGAGAUUUUUAAUAGAUAAUGAAAAAUGUGGGUGACCAAUAAAAAGCCACACACAUCCAAAUACACAUAAGAAUUACAAAAAGUUGUGCUCUGAUGGAAGAGUAAGAUGAAUAGAAACCUCAGUCACUAAAGUAUUCCAAAUACUCUCAAUUCUAGGAGGAGUAUAGUUCAAUGCAAAUCUUUCUACAACCACUUCAAAGAGCCUCUAAAUUCUUUCCUUGUGCUGGAAUGCUCUAAUGAUGGCUAAAAAAACCAAGUUGGAGCUUACUUAAUCACCUCCCUGGUCAAAAAGGGAAUAAAAUAAAGCAGACCUCAAAUGUCCCCAGGGCUUCUUUUGGCACCUUUUGUUCAAUUUGGGCAAGUUUCUUCAAGAAUAGGCCAAAUGUAGAAUUAAUCAUCAUUUUCUUAGUCUGUGAAAUACAUUGUUCAUGCUAAUCUAUCUUGUAACUAGUGCUGUGUGCAUGGCUUUCCUUCCUUCUGCUCUAAGCUCCCAGUCGUUUACCUGUCUGUCCUCACUCAAGUGUCACGGUAAAGUGUUUCCUUCAGUCCUUGCUAAGCCAGGAACCCCAUGUUCUGUUGUUGUGGAGAGAGAUCACUAAUAGAGAUACGACCUGGACAAAAGCAUUUUUGCCUUAAUCAAGAUAAAUAUUGUAAUGAGAACAUUAAAGCAAACACAUUGCUGGCAAUCUGCUAGAGCUGGGAGACUGUAGUGGAUUUUAUUUUUGUUGUAAUGGUUUCUACCAUAAUGAAAUUUAAUACAUUACCGGGAAAAAGCCAUGCCCUGUGGUAGGGAGCUGCUUAUAUUUCGAAACACGUUAGCGUGAAGCUACAGCCAGAUCUAAUAAUAGAAAUGAACUUACCUAAAGAUGUAUUGAUUUUUAUAUUAGGUCAUGUUGAGAAUUUACAAAGAACAUCUAGUCCAUGAAACAAAAAUCCUCCAGAGAACAGCAUUGAUUACAAGAAGUGUAAUAUUAGAAAAGUGGAAAUCCUCUCCUCCCAGAAUGGUGCACAUUCAUAAAGUGCACUAUGUAGUUUAGAAAAGGUCAUCUUUCAGAUAAAUGAUAAAUUUGAUAAAAUUCAACAGAUUUAAUCAUCCUUUGAGACUCGAUCAAAACAAUAAUGAAGAAAUGAAUGUAAGAAAAUAUCCAUCUCACUCAUAUAAUUUGCUUAUUGAAAAUAGGGUUAAUUUAUUCUAACUUCUGAACUUACAAACAUUAUUUCUAUUAUCAUGUACCUGUUCAAUAAAAUUUCUCACAAAAUAAAUUCCUAUCUGUUUAGUACAUACUCCAAUUAUUAGAUGGCUUCAAAAAUCAGGAAAUUCUCUCAGACAAAAUACCUGAUAAGAGACAGAGAAUUAAGACAGUAUCUCAUUAUAUGCUUUAUAAAACCCAGAGAACCUCUUUUAGAUGCAAAAGCAUAAAGAGGGAGGGUUAAUUUUUUAGGCUCACAUUUGACAAUGGAAAUCAGCAUUCAUUCAAUAAACCUAUUUUAUAUAUGCGUGCAUAUACACAAAAAAACUUUGCAAACAUUUCUUCAGAGUAGUGUAUUUUAGUACAUUUCUGUGUUUUCAUUAUUCUAAUGUGCGUUGGUCACUCACACUUUUUAUCAUAUUCUUAACAUAUUUUGUUUUCAAAUAUUAGGUUACAGUGUUUAUUUCUUUGAGAGUAUGUCUCUCAAGUAUUCUUUAAUCUAUAAGGAUUUCUGGUACUCCUUAUUCUUUUUUUCCCAAUGUUAAAUUGGUAUAAGACUUGACUCACCUUUUUCUAUUGCUCUGUUUUAAGUAAAAUAAGUUUUCAUGUCCUUUUAGAAAAGAGUGAUGAGCCCUUUCAGCAUUUCCAACUUUGUGGCUCUAAAGCGCCCUCUGUGGAGCCCUACUUUCUGAGACCUGCUUCCUCUGCUUCCCUUUUUCAUUUCUACAGAGUUCAAGCAAACUACAACCUGUGGACUAAAUAUGAACCUUGGGCCUGUUUCACAUUGCUCACAAGUUAAGAAUAUUUUUUAGGCUUUUCAAGAGUUAAAAAUAAAAGAGAAGGAAAGAAGAGAGAGAGGGAGAAAAGAGAUACAGGAGACCAUAUGUGGACCCCAAUAGAGCUUGCAAAUUUACUUUAUGGACCUUUACUGAAAAAGUUUGCCAACUCCUGACUCCUGGACCAACAUUUUCCUUUGAGCUUGCUGUCACUAUCCUGAAUUACUUCCCAUGUAUGAAGCAUAAUGAGAACCUCCAUAAUUAAAUAUAUUCUAUGAGAAUUCAUCCACAAAUAACUCUUUAAAAUUUCAAGGAAAAUAUAUAAAAUAACUCUGAGGAGACCCCUGAGAACAAUCAAGAUCAGAAAGAAACUACUGGAAAGCAUUUAACUCUUUCUUGAAAGAACCAGAGAAUUAUGAUGGUUCAGAGAAGAGACCAUUACUUCCAGGGUGAUUGUCUAGAGAGAGUGGCAUUUUAGGCAGCUUUUGAAAAUGAAAAGCUUUGAAUUUUGAUUGUUUGACAUGUUUGUAUAGGACAUUCUAAUACAUAAGGUCAUGUUAAUAAAUGUUCACAAAUCAGAUAAAAGAACAGCUUGCAAGUUCAGACACUGUAUUUUAUACAAUUAUUCCUUGGCCAAGGCUUCUGCAAUUUGAUUUUAAAGUUUUAAGUUAAAAACAAUGAAUUUUAUAUUCAGUCACAACUAAACCUCAAUAUAUUAACAUUAUUAAAACCAAAGAAUCAAGUCUUAACCACCAGCAUAUCCAAGAAAUUCCUCCUGAUUUACUAUUUAGACAUAAAAAAGAAACAAAAGCAUACAAAGACAUGAAACUUACCCAGGCUACAAUUCAUGCACCACUUCUCAAGGGACAAGAAACUGAACUGUUAUUGAGCAUCUUCCAUUUUAUCAAGCUUACUGAGAAAGUAAUUAAUGUGUAUCAUUGUUUCAUGUAUGUCUACUCUAUGCAAAAAACUAUUCUAGAUACUGUAGAAAACGUUUCCCUUCUUGAAGUUUGCAUAGUAGUAAGGGAAACAUACAUGUUAGCUCAGGGAGGCAUGAAUGAGAUCUCUGCAUUUAUCAGUCCAAUGUCAUAAAUAUCCCUGGCUAUUCAGAAACAGAAAACAUUUUCUCUUCCCCCUGUCCGAUUUGCAUUCCUUUCUUCAGAAUUCCCAUAGUAGUACUGUUCAUCUAUUACGGCACUUCUUAAACUAUAUUAUAAUUAUAUAUUUGACUUGCUUUGAUAACAUAGCAAGAUAUUACAGGCAAAGAAUCAGCCAUCACCAUGUUUUGCCUCUCAGAACUUUGGAAGUACAUGAAUUCCAU